AUUGAACGCUGGCGGCAGGCCUAACACAUGCAAGUCGAGCGGAGCGGCGGACGGGUGAGUAAUGCCUAGGAAUCUGCCUGGUAGUGGGGGAAAACGUCGGGAAACGGGCGCUAAUACCGCAUACUAUAAGAGGAGCCUAGGUCGGAUUGGCAAGUGGGUGGGGUAAGGGCCUACCACGGCGAAGAGCCGUAACUGGUCUGGGAGGAUGAUCAGUCACACUGGAACUGAGAAACGGUCCAGACUCCUACGGGAGGCAGCAGUGGGGAAUAUUGGGCAAUGGGCGAAAGCCUGAUCCAGCCAUGCCGCGUGUGUGAAGAAGGUCUUCGGAUUGUAAAGCACUUUAAGUUGGGAGGCGUUACCAACAGAAUAAGCACCGGCUAACUUCGUGCCAGCAGCCGCGGUAAUUC
rnacentral:rRNA from 1 species